rnacentral:rRNA from 1 species
GACGAACGCUGGCGGCGUGCUUAACACAUGCAAGUCGAACGGAAAGGCCCUGCUUUUGUGGGGUGCUCGAGUGGCGAACGGGUGAGUAACACGUGAGUAACCUGCCCUUGACUUUGGGAUAACUUCAGGAAACUGGGGCUAAUACCGGAUAGGAGCUCCUGCUGCAUGGUGGGGGUUGGAAAGUUUCGGCGGUUGGGGAUGGACUCGCGGCUUAUCAGCUUGUUGGUGGGGUAGUGGCUUACCAAGGCUUUGACGGGUAGCCGGCCUGAGAGGGUGACCGGCCACAUUGGGACUGAGAUACGGACCAGACGCCUACGGGAGGCAGCAGUGGGGAAUAUUGCACAAUGGGCGGAAGCCUGAUGCAGCAACGCCGCGUGCGUGAUGACGGCCUUCGGGUUGUAAACCGCUUUCGCCUGUGACGAAGCGUGAGUGACGGUAAUGGGUAAAGAAGCACCGGCUAACUACGUG